rfam:Populus trichocarpa isolate Nisqually-1 chromosome 4, whole genome shotgun sequence.
AUCCUGGAUAAUGUUGCUUUCGUGAUUAUCUGAUUCAUGGGAGGCAAAUACCAAAUGGUAGCUGGCUGAUAAUACUUUUUGUAUUUGAAAGUGUUUUACCCGUACCUCACUUUACAUGU